UAUCUCUGUAGAGUCUGCAUAUCAAUAAGCGGAGGAAAAGGAACUAACAAGGAUUCCCUUAGUAACGGCGAGUGAAGCGGGAAGAGCUCAAAUUUGAAAUCUUCAAGGUUCUACCUUGACGAAUUGUAGUUUAAAGAAGUGUUUUCUGUUGAAGUUUUGGUAAAAGUUCUUUGGAAUAGGACAUCAUAGAGGGUGAGAAUCCCGUAUUUGACCAUUAUUUUCAGCUGUGUGAUACACUUUCAAAGAGUCGGAUUGUUUGGGAAUGCAGUCCAAAAUGGGUGGUAAAUUUCAUCUAAAGCCAAAUAUUGGCGAGAGACCGAUAGCGAACAAGUACCGUGAGGGAAAGAUGAAAAGAACUUUGAAAAGAGAGUUAAACAGUACGUGAAAUUGUCAAAAGGGAAGCGUUUGACACCAGUGUUGUUUUCUCGAAAAUCAAUUAAAAAGAGUUUGAUUUUGUUGUGUAUUGACCUUAACAGCUUGCAUUUCAAUUUUCUUGCUUUUUUUAAUGCACUUUUCGUUUAACAAGUCAACAUCAGUUUCUUUUGUUGUAAAAAGGUCAUUGGAAGGUGGCUUUCUUUUCGGAGAAAGUGUUUAUAGCCUUUGACUCCUGCAAUCGGAGAGACUGAGGUCUGCAGCGUAGAUCCUUCGGGGUUAGAUACAUCUGUGCUAAGUUAUAGCUUUUUAUAGACAACUUGUUGACUAUGAUUAGUCUUGUAGCUUACUCGCUUAUGCUAUUUUACCUACGCUUAGGAUGUUGAAGAUAUGCGCGACACG
rnacentral:rRNA from 1 species